CACAACAACAACAGCAGCAGCAGCAGCAACAGCAGCAGCAGCAACAGCAACAACAACAACAACAACAACACAAAUUAAAGAGAACUUGGGUCAGGUGCUUCCGAGCUGGGGUGGAACUGAUGGGGUCCUAGGAUUGGACAGACGGAGGCUGGACAGAUGGAGGCUGGAGAGACGGAGGCUGGGGAUUCCUGAGGCCUCCUAACAGCAAAUGUCUUUUGUGCAGUCCAGAGGGUGAGCAGGUUUUGGUGGCUUCCGGUCCAUGGCAUUGUGCUCCUCUUCCUGUGUUUAGAGUGAGCCCUUGGUCCCCUAAGCAUCUGCCUCCCCGGACAAUGUUAUUAAGAAUGUUGCUUUUUCUCCGGUAGAUGAAAGAAGGCUGAAUUCCUAGCCUUGCAGGAAGGGGUGGAUGGAAUCAUAGAGAAAAGCAGGAAGGUGAGCUCUGGGAACCAGAGACUCCUGAGAACGUGAGACUCACUGGCAGCUAGGACUGAAGUGCUGAAUGAACCCAGAGGAAGGUGGAUGCUGCGGUUAUAGGACACAGUGGUUAUUACAGGCAUUUGACAUCGGUCAGCCCAUCUAAUCUCGGAGAGGCAGAUAUUGCUAAUCCUAGAUCCGCAGCAGAGAAAAUCAGCUCACAGAGCCCCUAGGACUGUGGAGUCUCCUGAGAACAGCUGAUUUGUAAACUGAAGCCACCAGGAAGGAGAUCAGAAGUUACUGAAGUUACGCUUGAGUCCGGGGAGUAAGAACUGAAAUGCACGUUCAAUUACAAGUUGGAGCCACUCUGGUCAGAGUUCCGAUGCCCACCAGGAAUGGGUGGUGAUGCUGGUAGAUUCUGCUUGUGUUAGUGAGGCUCCUGCUGGCCAGCACUGUUGGGGGCAGGAUAUCUACUCUGUACAGGACUCAGAUAGUUCAUGAGUUA